UGCCGCCUAUUUGCCUCUCGAGCGCCGUUUAGUUUCCUGGGGCCUCGGGACUUCCUAUAUAAGCGGAAGAUUAAUCCAGCCUACCGUACGAUAUCUUCGCUGCGGUAUUUUCUGCCGCAGCGGAGGUUGCGGUGCUGUACACUG
ensembl:snoRNA snoRNA:Psi28S-2149 snoRNA:Psi28S-2149